UGAAGACGACGAGCCAGAAAUGGAGGAAGCAGCGAGUGCUUCUCAAGUAGUUGCGGUUUCAGCUGGUGACUAAUUGACAAAUUGAAGCUCCUCCUCCUCCUGAUGAGAAAACAGAGGAAAUACAAACUUCAUCCACUCCUCAGUGAAAUCCACAAGUUCGACGUUGUUGCUCCGCUUGACCACAUAUAGAUACAAUAGAAUCAAACUGGAUCAGCAUCUGUAUUACUUGCUGCAGAUUACAACAGACGUGAACAAGGCUAAAGGCUUGAUUAUCAGAAUUUCCAGAUUACUUGCACAAGUGCUACUCAUGAUGGCCGAAUCCUAUACGGCCCCGCCUUUAAUUCUCCAUUGCCUCUCUUUCUUCUUCCACCGCAACAGCAGCUCUGUGUUUCUUCCCUCAGUCCCUCGUCGCUUUACACGGACCAGUCACAC